AUUCUGCAGGGGAAGUCUCUACUUCUUACACCCUCUUCCCCUCUCUCUGACUCCACUUUUCAUUCACGAGUGGUGAUUCACCGUUGUCUCUUAUUAUUAUUUCUUCUCUGUAUGGAUUUAAAGCACCCAGUCAGCACAGAAAAUACCUGUCACAUAAAUGUCAUCUGUUCUGUGGAGAGAAAACAGAAAGAUCAUGAAGUUACAGUAAAUCUGUGCCAGCCUUAUUGCACAGGAUGUUUCCCGGAGCAAAGCUCUAGAGCAGAGCUGUCCCUCCACUCUUCCACGGCUGCCGCUUCCCACAGUGGCUGCUCCACAAACAGGAACCCAAUCGAAGCAGCGAGGCUGCCAUGGAUCUUGUACCUUGAGAAACAGCAGUUGUGCUUCUUAGACCUGUGGCUUCCAGCUCAUAUGAACUUGGCAGUGAGUCUCUGCUGGUGAUUUUGCUGCUUGUAUUAAUUUAAACCAUCACUGGAUCAGCAUCGUUACUGCAGUGUGAUGGUGCGAUCUGGAAAUGUCCAUUAUCUGUUGUGGGAGCAACAAACAGAAUAUCCAGCAAAUACCACACUUCGGCAUUUCAUCCUGUAAUACACAGAAAAGGGGAAUUACAAAGGCAAGUACAGUGCGGAGACAUUUUUGUUACCUGUCUAUGGGAAGUGUUUACUGUUUGCUCUACCAAAACCUUUGUGCUGCUCCUAUAGAAACCGU